ensembl:snRNA U6 U6 spliceosomal RNA
GGGCUCGCUCCAGCAGUUCAGAUACUAAAAUUGGAACGAGAAAGAGAAGAUUAGCAUGGCCCUUGCACUAGGAUGACAUGCAAAUUCGUGAAGUAUUCCAUAUUUAU